UGCUCAGGCUGGUUUCAAACUCCUGACCUUGCCUGAUGCUCCUGCCUUGGCCUCCCAGAGUGUUAGGAUUACAGACAAGAGUCACCUGGUCCUGCCUUGUAAUUAAUGGUUUUGCAAACAACCAACUUUUGAGAUGCCUGCCCCAGUCCCACCCAUCCUUCAGCUCUGGGGUUGCUGCUAUCAGGGGGGCAGACUGGGUGAGCUGAAAGAAACCGCUGGCGAUGGACCUUUCUGAGUCGUGGAUGAUACCACACACGCGUUAUCAGAGCAGCAACCAACACAAGAGUGUAUCUGCUCUCCUCAACUGGUCAACGUAACAUACGGGGUUUACAACUCGUCGUUCAUUCAAAAUCGCUGCGGUUAAUUUUUUAAAGAUCAUUUCCAAUUCA